rnacentral:rRNA from 1 species
GUCUGCGGCCGCGCCACCCUGAACAAGCCCGAUCCUGUCUGGUCUCGGAAGCAUCAGCUAAGCAGGGUCGGGCCUGGUUAGUACUUGGAUGGGAGACCACCUAGGAAAACCAAGUGCUGUAGGCA